rnacentral:sRNA from 1 species
GCCAGGUGUGGUGAUGUGUGCCUCUAGUCCCAGCUACUCUGGAGGCUGAGGCAGAAGGAUUGCAAGUUUGAGGCCAGCCUGGGAAAUUUAGUAAAUUUCUGUCUCAA